rnacentral:rRNA from 1 species
GACGAACCGUGCGAACGUUGUUCGGAAUCACUGGGCUUAAAGGGCGCGUAGGCGGGCUGCCAAGUCCGUAGGUGAAAUCCCCCGGCUCAACCGGGGAACGGCCUCGGAUACUGGCGGCCUGGAGGGGGGUAGGGGAGACUGGAAUUCCUGGUGUAGCGGUGAAAUGCGCAGAUAUCAGGAGGAACACCGGUGGCGAAGGCGGGUCUCUGGGCCGAUACUGACGCUGAGGAGCGAAGGCCAGGGGAGCAAACGGG